rnacentral:rRNA from 1 species
CAGCCGUAAACUAUGCGCGUUAGGUGUAUCGGUGACCACGAGUUACCGAGGUGCCGAAGGGAAACCGUGAAACGUGCCGCCUGGGAAGUACGGUCGCAAGGCUGAAACUUAAAGGAAUUGGCGGGGGAGCACCACAACAGGUGGAGCCCUGCGGUUUAAUUUGGACUCAACGCCGGGAAGCUCACCGGAUAGGACAGCAGAAUGAUUGCCGGGCUGAAGACCCUGCAUGACUAGCUGAGAGGAGGUGCAUGGCGUAGACGUCU